CAGCCGCCGCGGUAAUACCGGCGGCCCGAGUGGCGGUCACUAUUAUUGGGCUUAAAGCGUCCGGAGCCGGGGUGGUUAGUCUCCCGGGAAAUCUGGCCGCUUAACGGUCAGAAUUCCGGGAGAUACUGCCAGCCUAGGGACCGGGAGAGGCCGAGGGGAUUCCCGGAGUAGGGGGGAAAUCCUAUAAUCCCGGGAGGACCACCUGUGGCGAAGGCGCUCGGCUGGAACGGGUCCGACGGUGAGGGACGAAGGCCAGGGGAGCAAACCGGAUUAGAUACCCGGGUAGUCCUGGCUGUAAACGAUGCGGACUUUGUGUCGGACAAGCUAUGAGCUUGUCCGGUGCCGGAGGGAAACCGUUAAGUCCGCCGCCUGGGGAGUACGGCCGCAAGGCUGAAACUUAAAGGAAUUGGCGGG
rnacentral:rRNA from 1 species